GAGUUUGAUCAUGGCUCAGAGUGAACGCUGGCGGUAGGCCUAACACAUGCAAGUCGAACGGCAGCACAGUAAGAGCUUGCUCUUACGGGUGGCGAGUGGCGGGCGGGUGAGGAAUACAUCGGAAUCUACUUUUUCGUGGGGGAUAACGUAGGGAAACUUACGCUAAUACCGCAUACGACCUACGGGUGAAAGCAGGGGAUCUUCGGACCUUGCGCGAUUGAAUGAGCCGAUGUCGGAUUAGCUAGUUGGCGGGGUAAAGGCCCACCAAGGCGACGAUCCGUAGCUGGUCUGAGAGGAUGAUCAGCCACACUGGAACUGAGACACGGUCCAGACUCCUACGGGAGGCAGCAGUGGGGAAUAUUGGACAAUGGGCGCAAGCCUGAUCCAGCCAUACCGCGUGGUGAGAAGGCCUCGG
rnacentral:rRNA from 1 species